rnacentral:rRNA from 1 species
GAUUAACGCUAGCGGCAGGCAUAAUACAUGCAAGUUGAACGGCAGCACAGGUAGCAAUACUGGGUGGCGAGUGGCGCACGGGUGCGUAACACGUAUGCAACCUACCCUAUACAGGCGAAUAACCUUUAGAAAUGAGGGCUAAUACGCCGUAGUAUUACAGAUGGGCAUCUAUUUGUAAUUAAAGAUUUAUCGGUAUAGGAUGGGCAUGCGUCCCAUUAGUUAGUUGGUAAGGUAACGGCUUACCAAGACGAUGAUGGGUAGGGGAUCUGAGAGGACUUACCCCCACACUGGUACUGAGACACGGACCAGACUCCUACGGGAGGCAGCAGUAAGGAAUAUUGGGCAAGGGCCGCGAGGCUGACCCAGCCAUGCCGCGUGCAGGAAGACGGCCUUAUGGGUUGUAAACUGCUUUUAUACGGGAAUAAUAGAGUGUACGCGUACAUUUAUGCAAGUAUCGUAUGAAUAAGCAUCGGCUAACUCCGUG